rnacentral:rRNA from 1 species
UACCAGCACCCCCGAGUGGUCGGGACGAUUAUUGGGCCUAAAGCAUCCGUAGCCGGUCCUACAAGUCUUCCGUUAAAUCCACCUGCUUAACAGAUGGGCUGCGGAAGAUACUAUAGGGCUAGGAGGCGGGAGAGGCAAGCGGUACUCAGUGGGUAGGGGUAAAAUCCUCUGAUCCAUUGAAGACCACCAGUGGCGAAGGCGGCUUGCCAGAACGCGCUCGACGGUGAGGGAUGAAAGCUGGGGGGAGCAAACCGG